GCCCCUGCAUCAUCCCCCACCCAGGCCCUGUCUGCAUCCUCUCCUUCCCUCUGGCCCCAGGAAUACCGAGUCAUAAGGGAGAUCCUGCUGCUCCAGGUGGCUUCAAAGAAUUACAACCUAGAUCCCGAGGAUCGAUUUGGGGCCUGGUUCCAGGACAUGAAGCUGCUCAACGAGAGUGAAAGCUACAGCCUGUCCUGCCAGCUGGACCCCCAGGCCUAGUUGGCCUGCAGAAUACUCAAGGCCCAGAAGAACCGGCCACCAUCAAGGUCAGGGCCCCCAGGCCCCAACACCGAGCCCCGUACC